rnacentral:rRNA from 1 species
AGAGUUUGAUCCUGGCUCAGGAUGAACGCUAGCGGCAGGCUUAACACAUGCAAGUCGAGGGGCAGCGGUAUGUAGCAAUACAUAGCCGGCGACCGGCGCAAGGGUGCGUAACGCGUGAGCAACAUGCCCGUCACAGGAGGAUAAACCAUGGAAACGUGGCCUAAUACUCCAUAGUAUCACUCCCAGGCAUCUGAGAUUGAUUAAAGCUACGGUGGUGACGGAUUGGCUCGCGUGACAUUAGCUAGAUGGAGAGGUAACGGCUCACCAUGGCGACGAUGUCUAGGGGAACUGAGAGGUUAAUCCCCCACACUGGUACUGAGACACGGACCAGACUCCUACGGGAGGCAGCAGUGAGGAAUAUUGGACAAUGGAUGGAAAUCUGAUCCAGCCAUGCCGCGUGCAGGAAGACGGCCCUAUGGGUCUUAAACUGCUUUUGUAUGGGAGCAAUAAGUUCUACGCGUAGGACGAUGAGAGUACCAUACGAAUAAGCAUCGGCUAACUCCGUGCCAGCAGCCGCGGUAAUACGGAGGAUGCGAGCGUUAUCCGGAUUUAUUGGGUUUAAAGGGUGCGUAGGCGGUCUGGUAAGUCAGUGGUGAAAUCUCCGUGCUCAACAUGGAACGUGCCAUUGAUACUGUCGGACUGGAAUGGGGAUGCCGUAUGCGGAAUGUGUGGUGUAGCGGUGAAAUGCAUAGAUAUCACACAGAACACCGAUUGCGAAGGCAGCAUACGAAUCCUUGAUUGACGCUGAUGCACGAAAGUGUGGGGAUCAAACAGGAUUAGAUACCCUGGUAGUCCACACAGUAAACGAUGAUAACUCGCUGUCGGCGAUACACAGUCGGUGCCAAGAGAAAUCGAUAGUUAUCCACCUGGGGGAGUACGACCGCAAGGUUGAAACUCAAAGGAAUUGACGGGGGCCCGCACAAGCGGAGGAACAUGUGGUUUAAUUCGAUGAUACGCGAGGAACCUUACCCGGGCUCGAACGGUCAGUGAACGCGGUAGAGAUACCAAGGUCCUUCGGGACGCUGAUCGAGGUGCUGCAUGGUUGUCGUCAGCUCGUGCCGUGAGGUGUCGGCUUAAGUGCCAUAACGAGCGCAACCCUUGCUGAUAGUUACCAUCAGGUAAUGCUGGGGACUCUAUCAGGACUGCCGCCGUAAGGUGAGAGGAAGGGGGGGAUGACGUCAAAUCAGCACAGCCCUUACGUCCGGGGCGACACACGUGUUACAAUGGCAGGUACAGAGGGCGGCCAGGCAGCGAUGCCGCGCAAAUCUCGAAAGCCUGUCUCAGUUCGGAUUGGAGUCUGCAACUCGACUCCAUGAAGUUGGAUUCGCUAGUAAUCGCGCAUCAGCCAUGGCGCGGUGAAUACGUUCCCGGGCCUUGUACACACCGCCCGUCAAGCCACGGAAGCUGGGGGUGCCUGAAGUCCGCGACCGCGAGGGGCGGCCUAGGGCAAAACUGGUAACUGGGGCUAAGUCGUAACAAGGUAACCGU